GCCAAAUGACCCUAAAUUCUUACUCCCUAUUUCAUAACAUUGUAUGUAGGGAAGCUAUAUUUAGGAGAUCUCUACUUUCCCAGCAAAGAUGGAAGCUAUAUAUUUUCUCUCUUUUUCAUCCGCCUUUUGUUCUCUUCCUCUUCCUUUUAUUCCCCCUAACCCUGGAGCCAGGAGAAGAAAACGUGUAAAACUGAAAAACGCCGUCGUGCCGAAAGUGCCAUAAUCACCAAUUUCAAGCAAAAUCUGUUAUAAAACACACACAAAACUACCCAUUUGACAGUUGCAUAGUAAUGGACAAAGGAGAAGGGAGUUUGAAUUUUGAUUUUGAGGGUGACUUAGACACUGGGCCAACACACCCCACUGCAUCCGUUCCAGUAAUACAAUCUUCCGAUCACACUGCCGUCGCCGCUCCAAGUGCUAAUAUUAACCCGCCUACUGUCCCUGCACCUGUCGGUGGCCAAGGCGAUGUAGGAUUUGUUGGAAAUCGUCGGAGUUUCAGGCAGACUGUUUGCCGCCACUGGCUGCGGUCACUGUGUAUGAAGGGUGAUGCCUGCGGCUUCCUUCACCAAUAUGAUAAAUCCCGAAUGCCCAUUUGUCGCUUCUUUCGACUCUAUGGUGAGUGCCGUGAACAGGACUGUGUUUAUAAGCACACAAUUGAGGAUAUCAAGGAAUGCAACAUGUACAAAUUGGGGUUUUGUCCAAAUGGUCCUGAUUGUCGAUAUAGACAUGCAAAGAUGCCCGGGCCUCCACCUCCAGUGGAAGAAGUCCUUCAGAAAAUUCAGCAUCUGGCAUCCUACAACUAUGGUUUCUCAAACAGGUUUAACCAAAAUCGAAAUGCUAAUUAUUCAACACUGACAGACAAAUCUCAGGCUUCACAAGCACAGAAUGGAAUGAGUCUUGCUGUGAAAUCUACAGCAACUGAGACACCCAUUAUUCAACAGCACCAGCCGCAUCAACAACAAGUUCAGCAACCUCAAUUACAGGGUGGCCCAACUCAAGCACAAAUUCAUCCCAAUGGCCAGCAAAAUCAAACUGAUAGAACUGCAGUAGUCCUGCCUCAAGGAACUUCUAGGUACUUUAUUGUUAAAAGCUGCAACCGUGAGAAUCUUGAAUUGUCAGUACAACAAGGAGUUUGGGCUACUCAAAGAAGCAACGAGGCUAAACUAAAUGAAGCUUUUGACUCUGUGGAAAAUGUCAUUCUGAUAUUUUCUGUCAACCGGACUAGACAUUUUCAGGGUUGUGGAAAGAUGACAUCUAGAAUUGGUGGCGCUGCUAAAGGAGGAAAUUGGAAGCAUGAACAUGGAACUGCUCAUUAUGGACGUAAUUUUUCAGUGAAAUGGUUAAAGCUAUGUGAACUGUCCUUCCAGAAAACUCACCAUUUGAGGAAUCCAUACAAUGAGAAUUUACCAGUGAAGAUAAGCAGAGAUUGUCAAGAAUUAGAGCCCUCUGUUGGUGAGCAGUUGGCUUCUUUGCUUUAUCUUGAACCAGAUAGCGAACUUAUGGCAAUCUCACAUGCAGCAGAAUCCAAGUGGCAGGAAGAAAAGGUGAAGGGAGUGAACCCUGACAAUGGGAAUGAUAACCCAGAUAUUGUACCAUUUGAAGACAAUGAAGAAGAGGAAGAUGAAGAAAGUGAGGACGAGGAUGAAAGCUUUGAUCAAGGUUUUGGACCAACUGCGCUUGGCAGAGGAAGGGGCAGGGGAAUUGUAUGACCUCCAAUAAUGCCUUUCGGACAUGGGCCCAGGCCUCCUCCUGGAAUGCGGGGCUUCCCUCCGGGCAUGAUGGGUGAUGGGUUUUCUUAUGGAGCUAUGACACCUGAUGGUUUUCCAAUGCCUGAUCAUUUUGGGAUGGGUCCCCGACCUUUUGGUCCAUAUGGUCCACGAUUUUCAAGUGAUUUGAUGUUUCAUGUCUGCCCUCCAGCUGGUGGAUUUGGGAUGAUGAUGGGUCCCGGAAGGCCCCCUUUCAUGGGCGGAAUGGGUCUGGGAGCGACAGGCCCACCCAGAGCUGACCGAGCAGUUGGAAUGCAUCUAUCAUUUCUUCCACCCUCAUCUCAGCCUUCUCAAAAUCUUUGUAGGGCUAAAAGAGAACAGAGGGCUCCAGUUAGUGACAGGAAUGAUAGAUUUAGCUCUGGCUCAGAUCAAGGUAAAGGUCAGGAAAUGGUGGGUUCAGUUGGUGGACCAGAUGGAGUACAUUAUCUGCAAAUAGGGAAAUCUGAACACGAUAAUCAGUUUGGUGCUGGAAACAGCUUCAAAAAUGAUGAAAGCGAAAGUGAGGAUGAAGCCCCAAGAAGAUCAAGACAUGGGGAUGGAAAGAGGAAGAGGCGGGAUAUUGAUGAAGAUGCUGCAGCUGGCUCGGAAAAAUAGGUGUCAUUCUAAACCAAAUAUAGAUGUCAUCUUGUCUUUACAGCUGUUCGUGACAUUCUUCUACGGGGGUAAAUGCAACUAGUUUUAAUGUAGAAACCCAUCCAACAUCCUGUUUUUACAGAAUUAGAAAGAAAAAUUCAACUUACAUUCCGGCUGGAAGAUAUACUCUUAUGUCACCAUCCUGAGAGUAUCCGCCCGACCGAGAAAUUAACAAGAGGUUUAUAAUAUAUGUCCUGGUGUAUACUUUGUGGAACAAUUAAAUUUUACAGCCUUCUAUUAGAUAAAUUUUGAGGAA